CAGUAGCCACGGUAAUACGGAGGGAGCUAGCGUUGUUCGGAAUUACUGGGCGUAAAGCGCGCGUAGGCGGUUACUCAAGUCAGAGGUGAAAGCCCGGGGCUCAACCCCGGAACUGCCUUUGAAACUAGGUGACUAGAAUCUUGGAGAGGUCAGUGGAAUUCCGAGUGUAGAGGUGAAAUUCGUAGAUAUUCGGAAGAACACCAGUGGCGAAGGCGACUGACUGGACAAGUAUUGACGCUGAGGUGCGAAAGCGUGGGGAGCAAACAGGAUUAGAUACCCCUGUAGUCCCUGUUUCUUAUAC
rnacentral:rRNA from 1 species